rnacentral:rRNA from 1 species
AAGAGAACCGGAACACAGGUGUUGCAUGGCUGUCGUCAGCUCGUGUCGUGAGAUGUUGGGUUAAGUCCCGCAACGAGCGCAACCCUUGUCAUUAGUUGCUACGAAAGGGCACUCUAAUGAGACUGCCGGUGACAAACCGGAGGAAGGUGGGGAUGACGUCAAGUCCUCAUGGCCCUUAUGGGUAGGGCUUCACACGUCAUACAAUGGUCGGGACAGAGGGUCGCCAACCCGCGAGGGGGAGCCAAUCCCAGAAACCCGAUCGUAGUCCGGAUCGCAGUCUGCAACUCGACUGCGUGAAGUCGGAAUCGCUAGUAAUCGCGGAUCAGCAUGUCGCGGUGAAUACGUUCCCGGGUCUUGUACACACCGCCCGUCACACCAUGGGAGUGGGUUUUACCAGAAGUAGUUAGCCUAACCGCAAGGGGGGCGAUACCACGGUAGAUUC